UGCGACCCCAGGUCAGGCGG
rnacentral:rRNA from 6 species